rnacentral:rRNA from 1 species
CCCUUAGAUGUUCUGGGCUGCACGCGCGCUACACUGAUGCGAUCAACAAGUUUUUCCUAUGUCGAUAGACACGGGUAAUCUUUUGAACUCGCAGCGUGAUGGGGAUAGAUUAUUGUAAUUAUUAAUCUUCAACGAGGAAUUCCUAGUAGGUGCAAAUCAUCAGUUUGCAUCGAUUACGUCCCUGCCCUUUGUACACACCGCCCGUCGCUGCUACCGAUUGGUUGAUCUGGUGAAUUAUUCGGACUGCCGGCUGAAGGGGUUUCCUCAUCUGCCAGCGGAAAGUCUUGUUAACCCUAUCAACUAGAGGAAGCAGAAGUCGUAACA